GUGCUCACUUCAGAAGCACACAUACUAAAAAAAUUUGGAACGACACAGAAGAUUAGCAUGGCCCUUGCGCAAGGAUGACAUGCAAAUUUGAGAAGAUUCCAUAUUUUAA